rnacentral:rRNA from 1 species
ACACGUAUGAGAGUAACUGUUCAUACGUUGACGGUAUUUAACCAGAAAGUCACGGCUAACUACGUGCCAGCAGCCGCGGUAAUACGUAGGUGGCAAGCGUUAUCCGGAUUUAUUGGGCGUAAAGAGAGUGCAGGCGGUUUUCUAAGUCUGAUGUGAAAGCCUUCGGCUUAACCGGAGAAGUGCAUCGGAAACUGGAUAACUUGAGUGCAGAAGAGGGUAGUGGAACUCCAUGUGUAGCGGUGGAAUGCGUAGAUAUAUGGAAGAACACCAGUGGCGAAGGCGGCUACCUGGUCUGCAACUGACGCUGAGACUCGAAAGCAUGGGUAGCGAACAGGAUUAGAUACCCUGGUAGUCCAUGCCGUAAACGAUGAGUGCUAGGUGUUGGAGGGUUUCCGCCCUUCAGUGCCGGAGCUAACGCAUUAAGCACUCCGCCUGGGGAGUACGACCGCAAGGUUGAAACUCAAAGGAAUUGACGGGGGCCCGCACAAGCGGUGGAGCAUGUGGUUUAAUUCGAAGCUACGCGAAGAACCUUACCAGGUCUUGACAUCUUGCGCCAACCCUAGAGAUAGGGCGUUUCCUUCGGGAACGCAAUGACAGGUGGUGCAUGGUCGUCGUCAGCUCGUGUCGUGAGAUGUUGGGUUAAGUCCCGCAACGAGCGCAACCCUUGUUACUAGUUGCCAGCAUUAAGUUGGGCACUCUAGUGAGACUGCCGGUGACAAACCGGAGGAAGGUGGGGACGACGUCAGAUCAUCAUGCCCCUUAUGACCUGGGCUACACACGUGCUACAAUGGACGGUACAACGAGUCGCGAACUCGCGAGGGCAAGCAAAUCUCUUAAAACCGUUCUCAGUUCGGACUGCAGGCUGCAACUCGCCUGCACGAAGUCGGAAUCGCUAGUAAUCGCGGAUCAGCAUGCCGCGGUGAAUACGUUCCCGGGCCUUGUACACACCGCCCGUCACACCAUGAGAGUUUGUAACACCCAAAGUCGGUGGGGUAACCUUUUAGGAGCCAGCCGCCUAAGGGGACCAAAA